CAAAUACAAGGAAGAUGUGGUUUGUUAUGAACUGGAUAUUUUUUUAACUUUACAGGAUUAAUGGAUCUUCACAAGAAAAGUUUUCUUAAGAGAUGGAGGAUAAACAAUUCUUACAGAUUGCAGUUUCUACUUGAAACACAUCACAACAAAAACAGUGUUUUUCCUCCUUUGCUGUUUGCAACAUGUAUUAAUGAAGAACUGUGAGUGUGAGAGGACAAUGUUUCUCAUCUCCACAACCCCUUAAUAACUGAGGUGAAGUGUGAAACACAGGCUAUUGGACUCUGACAAAACCUGGAAAGAUCACUAGAUCAGCUUUCAGGUCUCAAGGGAGAAGAUAUAAAUUAAAAUAUGAUCAACAGUAAGAGAGAUAUUCCUACUGUUACAUGUGGAAAGAAGAGCAAGACAACUGACAAGAAAUUUCUACAGUCAAGUAGAGCCUAACGUAGUAACGACUAACGUUCUCUUUGUCCUAAUAUACUUUGGUGAGCGAAGGUUAAGGUGUACUAUUCAGAACUCUGCCUGAACACCAGAAACAAAGAAAUCUAAGUCAUAGAAUCGCAUGAAUCCUUUUGGAAGUUAUUCACAUAGCUGAUUGUUAAUAAUUAGAUCACAUAGAGAAGCCCAGAAGAUUUCAGCUGAUUUAAGCCAUUAAUGAUUUGUAUCAAAAUCAAAACUUCAGUCAAUUUUCUUGGCAUAAGAAACACUUCAGAUUUUAGGGCAGAGGGGAGAAAUCCAACCUCUGAGAUAUAUUUCUCACAAAUUAUUUCAGCUUGAGUGGCUGCAAUUUUUUCCCCCAACAGAUAAUAUUUUCUUUGGAAUGAGAAAUUAGGUAGACAUGAAUAUGAACUUGACUAGAUGGUCCACAUGUAACAUAGCCACUACAUCAAGCCAGAGUUGUCUAUCAAAAGUGUCUGCCCUCUGACUCUAAGUUUUUCUCUGUACAUCAAAGAUUUAAGCAGAAAAGGCCCAAAUGCAUUUAGGUACGCCAAAAGGUGAGAGAAUUUCUUACUACAGAUUGAAAAUAUUCAGGAGACAGUCCUUCCAGCUCAAGGAUUUUAUCUUCAAGCUUCUUAAUUCUCUGAUAAAUGUCUCUUGGUACCGGGCCACCUAAAUGCAUCAGUACAAAUGCAAAGAAAUCAGGAAAAACUCUUGAGUAACUUUUUAAACUGAAAAUUACAAAUUUGACAUGUGAAUUCUUCAAGACCAGCUAUCAACCAGUAGCUGAAACAAAAUAAAUGGAUGGGAUAAUAAAAAGAAAGGAUAAUUAGUAUAAUUCAGGGUAAAACCUAAUUGAUAAGCCAGUGGCAGCCACUGAAGGCAAUAAGACAACUUCAGCAUUUGGCUGAAGUAUGUCUGAAAAGGUCCCUUGAACAACUAAUAAUCAGUCUUACAAUGCAUUGGUCAUACAUGAAAUGUUACCACUUCAAAACUGACAGCAGCAUUAGAGAGGGCAGAUGGGAUGGCAGAGCACACAUGAAUUCAGCGCUGAUAUCUAAGAUUGUUCUGAAAGAAACCUAUCUCCACUGGACAUUAGAGGUCAGAGGACAGGUACGAGUUGUGCUUGACAAAAAACAGCAUUUGCCUGGCUAUAGGUGGGAGAACAGAGGUGGGGAAUGUGUAUGUCAAGUGGAAUAAAAGAGCCUUGGGGGACCAAAAAAAAAAACCCACAAAAAACCCCAACCCCCCCCCCCCCCAAAACCCAACCAACCAAA